GAUGAACGCUGGCGGCGUGCCUAAUACAUGCAAGUCGAGCGAACGGACGAGAAGCUUGCUUCUCUGAUGUUAGCGGCGGACGGGUGAGUAACACGUGGAUAACCUACCUAUAAGACUGGGAUAACUUCGGGAAACCGGAGCUAGUACCGGAUGAUAUUUUGAACCGCAUGGUUCAAAAGUGAAAGACGGUCUUGCUGUCACUUAUAGAUGGAUCCGCGCUGCAUUAGCUAGUUGGUAAGGUAACGGCUUACCAAGGCAACGAUGCAUAGCCGACCUGAGAGGGUGAUCGGCCACACUGGAACUGAGACACGGUCCAGACUCCUACGGAAGGCAGCAGUAGGGAAUCUUCCGCAAUGGGCGAAAGCCUGACGGAGCAACGCCGCGUGAGUGAUGAAGGUCUUCGGAUCGUAAAACUCUGUUAUUAGGGAAGAACAUAUGUGUAAGUAACUGUGCACAUCUUGACGGUACCUAAUCAGAAAGCCACGGCUAACUACGUG
rnacentral:rRNA from 1 species